CUGACUGCAGCUGGGGUUCAUUUAAACUGCUGUCUGACAUAAAAAGAGGAAGAGGAAAGGUUUGUCUGCCCUGGUGGGAAAUGAAUUCUGGACUUGCUUUCACUGAUCAAUGGAGUAAGACCACAUUGUGAAAGCACACUGGAAAAGAACAAAGGAAAGACCAACAUUUUGGAUUUCUCCAUGACAUGACACAGGAGAUAAUCCCAGUUCCAGGGCAACAUGUAUGGCAGGCUGCCACAAAUCUUGGGAGCUCUGACGCACUCUGCCUCUUCUGCAGUCCAGCAGAGUUCUAUCACACCUCUGAAAUGGAACGUGCUCCAUAAAACAUUUGCAUUUUAUUAACCAACACAUUAAAGGAACAACUAUAAAUCAGAGGAAUUCUUCUGGCUGGCCAUCACCACAUCUCUUCCUCAUUAAAUU